GCCUUCGUGGUGUAGUGGUCAGCACGCUCGGCGCGUAUUCGAGAAGUCCGUGGUUCGAUUCCCGGCGAGGGCA
rnacentral:tRNA from 1 species